rnacentral:rRNA from 1 species
UACGGGGGGGGCAAGCGUUGUUCGGAAUUACUGGGCGUAAAGGGCCCGUAGGCGGCCAACUAAGUCGGAUGUGAAAUCCCCAGGCUCAACCUGGGAACUGCAUCCGAUACUGGAUGGCUUGAAUUCGGGAGAGGGAUGCAGAAUUCCAGGUGUAGCGGUGAAAUGCGUAGAUAUCUGGAGGAAUACCGGUGGCGAAGGCGGCAUCCUGGACCGACAUUGACGCUGAACGGCGAAAGCUAGGGGAGCAAACGGG